UACAGAGGGUGCAAGCGUUAAUCGGAAUUACUGGGCGUAAAGCGUGCGUAGACGGUUAUUUAAGUCAGGUGUGAAAGCCCCGGGCUCAACCUGGGAAUUGCAUUUGAGACUGAAUAGCUAGGGUGCGGAAGAGGAGAGUGGAAUUCCUGGUGUAGCGGUGAAAUGCGCAGAUAUCAGGAAGAACACCAAUGGCGAAGGCAGCUCUCUGGGACGGUACUGACGCUGAGACGCGAAAGCGUGGGGAGCGAACAGG
rnacentral:rRNA from 1 species